AACGAACGCUGGCGGCAGGCUUAACACAUGCAAGUCGAGCGCCCCGCAAGGGGAGCGGCAGACGGGUGAGUAACGCGUGGGAAUCUACCCAUCUCUACGGAAUAACGCAUGGAAACGUGUGCUAAUACCGUAUACGUCCUUAGGGAGAAAGAUUUAUCGGAGAUGGAUGAGCCCGCGUUGGAUUAGCUAGUUGGUGGGGUAAAGGCCUACCAAGGCGACGAUCCAUAGCUGGUCUGAGAGGAUGAUCAGCCACACUGGUACUGAGACACGGCCCAGACUCCUACGGGAGGCAGCAGUGGGGAAUAUUGGACAAUGGGCGCAAGCCUGAUCCAGCCAUGCCGCGUGAGUGAUGAAGGCCCUAGGGUUGUAAAGCUCUUUCACCGGUGAAGAUAAUGACGGUAACCGGAGAAGAAGCCCCGGCUAACUUCGUGCCAGCAGCCGCCGUAACAC
rnacentral:rRNA from 1 species